rnacentral:rRNA from 1 species
AUGAGCUGGAACGUGCGCGGGCUAAACUCGCCGGCGAAGCGAGAGGCCGUUCGCGAGGUAGUUGCGGCUCACUGCACGGCCAUCCUCUGUCUCCAGGAGACCAAACUGGACGAGUGGAACCCCAGUCUGGUUCGCGACAUCAACGGAGCAAACCUGCUGGGCUGCGUCGUGCUGCCCGCCAUUGGCACGCGCGGCGGCGCGGCGAUCAUCUGGAACAAGGACGUAGUCGCCGUAGAUACUCACGUAGUAGGCCAAUUCGCGAUCACAGUUAAAGUAGCGGUAGCCUGCAAUCAUACGUCGUUCUGGCUCACUACGGUCUACGGGCCGACAGAUGAUGUGCACAAAGAUGCGUUCCUCGCAGAGCUUGCGAGAAUGGCUCCUCCACCAGAUGAACCCUGGAUAAUCAACAGCGAUUUCAACCUCAUUUACAAAGCUAGAGAUAAGAACAAUCUCAAUUUAAACACAAGGCUUAUGGGCUGUUUCAGAGCGGCGAUCGAUAGCGCAGGCCUGCGACAUAUCAAGUGCAGCAACUGUAGGUUUACCUGGAGCAAUGAGCGGGAAAACCCCACUCUAGUGAGUAUUGAUAAGUUCUUCUGCAACAUCCACUAG